rnacentral:tRNA from 1 species
CUGGCUUGUCGGGACCCAAUGGUAGCGAAAGGGACCCCCGCCUGUUCUCUGGGGGUCAAGGGGUCGCAGGUUCAAAUCCUGUCAGCCCGA